GACUCUGUAGCUCAGUGGUAGAGCAUACGAUUGCAGUUUUCUGCUUAUAUCGUGCGGUCCCGUGUUCGAACCACGGCAGGGUCU